UAUUGAUCCAGGAGUGUGACCUCUCUUUUCCCAGGACUAUUAAUAAGGAAAACACCUUCACCUAUCUAUGUGACAAGAUACUCUAUAGAGAUGUUAAAGUGUGAGCCCUCUCUAUUUCCUGCCCACUUCCUGCCAUUCUCAGGAGGUUGCUGGGUCUUUUUUGACUCAGAGAUUUUGCAGAGGAGAAACCAGGUGUUACUUGAGGUGGGAGUGCUCUUUCUGUCCAGUGUCAAAGUGUGAGCUCCAAUAGAAGACAAUCUGAAUUGCUCCAAUAGAAGACAAUCUGAAUUGCUCCAAAUUGGGUCCUCGAGUAUGCCAAGAGGACCCCUGAAGGUCACCCCAAGAUGAGGAAUCGACAGCCUGAACAUGUAAGAAGCCACAUGAGACAUGAGAAGUAAUGUAGCAUCCUUAAUGUGUUGAGAAACGCCCUGAAAUGACAGCCAGCAAAGAAACAAGGACGUGGGCCCUGCAACUACAAGGAAAUGGAGUCUACCAACAACCUCAAUGAGCCUAGAAGCAGAUUUUUUCCCAGAGGUUUCAGAUAAGAGGCCAGCCAGCCAGCACCUUGAUUUCACCUUUCAGACCCUACCUAGAACAACCAGGAAGAAAAUCAUAUUGUCUAUUUGGAUCAUAUUGGACAGCUGAACCCAUCAAACGUGACCAGAAUGGUGGAGUCCAGGAAGAAAACAGAAGACGGCAAGAAAACUACACGUGUAAGUCCAUUUUCAAGCAGAUAUGUGUGUGCAGGAGUAAUUUUCUGCAAUGAAGGGAGAGGAGUAGGAGCGCUGAGUAAACCCAAUACUAAACCUUUCCUAUAUGAGCUUUUAAGUGCUGGAAUUUCUCAGAGGUCCUUCCUUGACCUCCUGUCUUCUCACUGUAUACUCUACCUAAGCAAUUUAAUUAUACCCAUGACA